AUCUGGGUGGAGAUGCAAAACUAUGGUGGCGAACCAAAAAUGCUGACAUUCAGGCCAACAGGGUCCGAAUAGAUUCUUAGGAUCUCCUCAAGGAAGCAAUCAGAUUGCAAUUUUUCUCGGAGAAUGUCGAGUAUCAAGCUCGACGGGCACUUCGAGACCUGAAACAUACAAGAUCUAUCAGGGAGUAUGUGAAAUCAUUUUCAGGGCAUAUGCUGAAUAGUCGAGAUAUGUCGAAAAAAGAUAAGCUCUUCACCUUUAUGGAAGGGUUGAAACCAUGGACACGCACGAAACUUCAAAGACAGAAAGUUACUGAUUUGAGCACGGCCAUGGGAGCCGCCGAAUGCUUGAGCGACUACCAAACGGAAUCUAGAACAGAUAGACCUUCGGGGAAUAAUCAAGCAAUUGGAGGUGGUAACAGACCUUACAGACCCAGCUCGAACCCAAAUGGGGGAAAGCGUUACUCUCAGAAUAAAGGAAGAGCCUAUCAAAGCACCCGUGGCUUUCAGGGAAAUUAUCAUAAUAGUCGUCAAGAAAAUUUUAACGGCAGCAACAAUAACAACUGGAACAAAGGAAAAGCAACGGAGGGCCGAACUGAUGCUACUCCCAAAUUGAUGUGCUUUUUAUGCGAAGGACCCCAUCGGGUGUCGGAGUGUCCUCAGAAGCGGAUGGUGAAUGCAUAUUGUCAGCUAGCAAGUAGCGGGUCAAGUUCAAAGCAAGAGGCCCCACAGGUUAAUUGUCAUAAUGAGUCUGACUCUGAAGAUGAUGAGAACGUAGUUGGGGCAUUUUCACAUCGGUGCAACACACUGUCGCAUCAGGUUGCUGAAAAGGAUGAUUUCUCAUUGAAAGAGGCAAAGAUGGAAGAAAC
rnacentral:lncRNA from 1 species